UGGCGAAGUUCAAUGUAGUUCAGAAGCAAAGACGAGCUCUUAAAGCUCAGAUCAAGAGGGACGCCCAUGGUGAUCCCUUGACCAAGAAGCUCAAGAUCAAGCAACAACCUACUUAUGUAUCCAGCAAGCGUAAGCGUAAAUUGAUGAAGAAAAAACGCAGAGAAGAGAAGGAAGCUUUACAGAUGGGUCUGACGAACAUGGAAGAUGUUGAAAUGGCUAUUGCUGAAGAACUUAAAAACACAAAUCGGACGCCGACCAAGUUCCAUAUGAAGAAGAGUGUCCGGCUCAGGCAAUUAAGGAGAAAAGGUAAGAAGAAUAAAGGGAAAUUUUCUUCCAGUUCAGGUUCUACAGCAUCAGGCGAUGCCAUGGUAGAGUAAAAUAGGUGACUGAAGAAAGUUCUUUUGUUUGUUUUAUUUUGUUUUGAAUGCCUAUACUUCUAUAGUAAUAUCAUAUUUGGCUCGUAUUAAAUGCAAUUAUCUGUAGCUUUUCAGGAAAAGA
rnacentral:misc_RNA from 1 species